rnacentral:rRNA from 1 species
AUUGAACGCUAACGGCGUGCUUAACACAUGCAAGUCGAGCGGCAGCACAGUAGUAGCAAUACUAUGGGUGGCGAGCGGCGGACGGGUGAGUAAUGCAUAGGAAUCUGCCUUGUAGUGGGGGAUAACCCGGGGAAACUCGGGCUAAUACCGCAUAAUCUCUACGGAGCAAAGUGGGGGACCGUAAGGCCUCACGCUAAAAGAUGAGCCUAUGUUGGAUUAGCUAGUUGGUAGGGUAAAGGCCUACCAAGGCAACGAUCCAUAGCUGGUCUGAGAGGAUGAUCAGCCACACUGGGACUGAGACACGGCCCAGACUCCUACGGGAGGCAGCAGUGGGGAAUAUUGGACAAUGGGCGAAAGCCUGAUCCAGCAACGCCGUGUGUGUGAAGAAGGCCUUCGGGUUGUAAAGCACUUUUAGUUGGGAAGAAAAGCUCAAGACUAAUACCCUUGAGUGAUGACGUUACCAACAGAAAAAGCACUGGCUAACUCUGUGCCAGCAGCCGCAGUAA